rnacentral:rRNA from 1 species
GACGAACGCUGGCGGCGUGCUUAACACAUGCAAGUCGAACGAUGAAGAAGAGCUUGCUCUUCGGAUUAGUGGCGAACGGGUGAGUAACACGUGACUAACCUGCCCCUUUCUCUGGGAUAACGUUCCGAACGGAGUGCUAAUACCGGAUACUCACAUCGAGGCACAUGCCUUGAUGUGGAAAGUUUUUCGGAAAGGGAUGGAGUCGCGGCCUAUCAGCCUGGUGGUGAGGUAACGGCUCACCAAGGCGACGACGGGUAGCCGGCCUGGGAGGGCGCACGGCCACACGGGAACUGGAGCACGGCCCAGACUCCUACGGGGGGCAGCAGUGGGGAAUAUUGCACAAUGGGCGCAAGCCUGAUGACGCGACGCCGCGUGAGGGAUGAAGGUCUCCGGAUUGUAAACCUCUUUCAGUAGGGACGAAGCGAAAGUGACGGUACCUGCAGAAAAAGCACCGGCUAACUACGUGCCAGCCGCCGCCGUAA